AUUGAACGCUGGCGGCAUGCCUUACACAUGCAAGUCGAACGGUAACGGGCCUUCGGGUGCCGACGAGUGGCGGACGGGUGCGUAAUACAUCGGAACGUGCCCGCUCGUGGGGGAUAACGAGGCGAAAGCUUUGCUAAUACCGCAUACGAUCUACGGAUGAAAGCCGGGGACCGCAAGGCCUUGCGCGGACGGUGCGGCCGAUGGCAGAUUAGGUAGUUGGUGGGAUAAAAGCUUACCAAGCCGACGAUCGGUAGCUGGUCUGAGAGGAUGAUCAGCCACACUGGGACUGAGACACGGCCCAGACUCCUACGGGAGGCAGCAGUGGGGAAUUUUGGACAAUGGGCGCAAGCCUGAUCCAGCCAUGCCGCGUGCAGGAUGAAGGCCUUCGGGUUGUAAACUGCUUUUGUACGGAACGAAAAGCCUUCUUUUAAUACAGGAGGGUCAUGACGGUACCGUAAGAAUAAGCACCGGCUAACUACGUG
rnacentral:rRNA from 1 species